CUACGGGUGGCUGCAGUGGGGAAUAUUGCACAAUGGGCGCAAGCCUGAUGCAGCCAUGCCGCGUGUAUGAAGAAGGCCUUCGGGUUGUAAAGUACUUUCAGCGGGGAGGAAGGGAGUAAAGUUAAUACCUUUGCUCAUUGACGUUACCCGCAGAAGAAGCACCGGCUAACUCUGUGCCAGCAGCCGCGGUAAUACGGAGGGUGCAAGCGUUAAUCGGAAUACUGGGCGUAAAGCGCACGCAGGCGGUUUGUUAAGUCAGAUGUGAAAUCCCCGGGCUCAACCUGGGAACUGCAUCUGAUACUGGCAAGCUUGAGUCUCGUAGAGGGGGGUAGAAUUCCAGGUGUAGCGGUGAAAUGCGUAGAGAUCUGGAGGAAUACCGGUGGCGAAGGCGGCCCCCUGGACGAAGACUGACGCUCAGGUGCGAAAGCGUGGGGAGCAAACAGGGUUAGAUACCCGAGUAGUC
rnacentral:rRNA from 1 species